UGAGGGUUUGGGAACUAGUGAAAAGACAUCCAAUGCUGCUAAAAAUAGUCCCAAUAAUAGUGUGUCCAAUGUUGCUGAAAAUAAUCCCAAUAAUAGUGUGCCCACAACUAAUACUACAGAUGAUAGCUCAAACUCCUCAUCUGAAUCAAACUCUUUAAACUCUAGUAGCAGCAUUGAUAAUAGCUAAGAUUCCGACCAUGAGGAGUUGUUUGAAGAGGAGAAGCUGAAUAUGGCAGUGAUACACAUGAUGAAUACAGGGCAUUCAGGGCAGAAAGCAGGACUGUAAAAGGAAGAAGAUGAAAGAAAGUGCUCCUGAAUAAGAACAUGUUAAACUAGGCAAGAGAGGCCAGAUAUAGGGUAUGAUGAAUAUGCAUCUAGGAAGAAGAAGACUUUAGAAGGUAAGAUAGGCGAUGAUGAGUCUUAUUAUCCCUCAGAAGAAGCUGCUAAUUUUGAGACAGAUCCAGAUGAUGCUGGUGAUGAAGAUGAAGGGGAGGUACAACGUAAAGCUAAAGCUAGUAGAAGAAAAACCACAAGGAGAGUAAUAUUUGACAAGACUUGCAAGAAGAUAGUUUGAGAAACUGGACUUGCAUUUGCAAGUGUGAAAGAAUUCAGAGAAACAGUGACUAAAUAUGCUUUUCAAAAAAAGGUUUCUAUAGAUAAGUAUGUAGAUGAACCUACAAGGGUGAGGGUUAAGUGCAAGAAGGAAUCCUCUCCUUGGUUUCUAUGUGCUAGUUAUAAUUCAAGGACUAAGGAUUUUGUUGUCAAAACUACAAUCCAGUCCAUGAAUUUGACCCAAAUAACAGAAACAAGUUUUGUAAGUCAAAGUUCUUGGCUAAAAGGUUCAAUGAGAGGAUAAAAGAACAACCUAACAUUAGAAUAAUUAAGUUUUAGAAAGAAAUUAGGAUUAUAUGUUGGGAGGACAGUUUGUAACAGGACAAAAAAUAUUGUGUUGAAAGAGAUAAUGGGUAAUCAUAAAUUGGAGCAUGGGAUGAUUUUAGAUUAUGGGGAUAAGUUGCUUAGAUCUAAUCCUGGUAGUACAUGUGUAGUGAAACUUAGUGAGGAAACUUUUGAAGGUGGGAAGAAAAUGUUUGUUGGGUUCUACAUUUGUUUUGCUACAAUGAAGAAGCCAUACCUAGCUGGAUAUAGGCCAUGCAUUGGGAUGGAUGGGUGUUUAUUAAAAGAGGUUUGUAAAGGCCAACUACUUGUAGCAGUUUGCAAAGAUGGAAAUAAUCAGAUGCUUCCACUUGCUUGGGAUGUUGUUGAGAUUGAAAAUGUGCACACCUGGAGGUGGUUUGUCAGCAUUUUGAAGAGUGAUCUUCAACUUGGAGAUGGUACAAAGCUGCCUAUAAUAACAGACAUGCAAAAGGUAACGCUUGGGCUGUUGUUGAGAUUGAAAAUAUGCACACCUGGAGGUGGUUUGUCAGCAUUUUAAUGAGUGGUCUUCAACUUGGAGAUUGUACAAAUCUUACCAUAAUAACAGACAUGCAAAAGAUGAUCCAUCUGUUUUAAUGCUACUGUUUUUGCUACUGUUGCCAGUAUUUUUAUGACCAUCUUUGUUUUGCCAUUGUUAAUUUUCAGGGGCUUGAAAAUGCUAUAGCAGACCUACUUCAAAAUUCUGAGCAUAGGAUGUGUUCAAGGCACAUCCUAGCUAACUGGUCAAAGAAAUGAAGGGGCAUAGAGAGAAGGAACUGCUUCUGGAGGUGUGCAAGGUCUACAUAUGAAUGGGAAUUGAAGAAAUAUCUGGAUGACAUGAAGAAAUUGGGGACUAACAUAGUUGAUGAACUGUUGUACUACAACAUUGAAAGAUGAAGUAAGGUUUAUUUCAACACUUUCUGCAAGUCUGAUAGUGUUGUCAACAAUAUGGC
rnacentral:lncRNA from 1 species